rnacentral:rRNA from 1 species
GAACGCUGGCGGCAGGCUUAACACAUGCAAGUCGAGCGGUAGCAGAUCUAGCUUACUAGAUGCUGACGAGCGGCGGACGGGUGAGUAACGCGUAGGAACCUGCCCAGUAGUGGGGGAUAGCCCGGGGAAACUCGGAUUAAUACCGCAUACGCUCUACGGAGGAAAGAGGGGCUUCGGCUCUCGCUAUUGGAUGGGCCUGCGUGAGAUUAGCUAGUUGGUGAGGUAAUGGCUCACCAAGGCGACGAUCUCUAGCUGGUCUGAGAGGAUGAUCAGCCACACUGGGACCGAGACACGGCCCAGACUCCUACGGGAGGCAGCAGUGGGGAAUAUUGCACAAUGGGCGCAAGCCUGAUGCAGCCAUGCCGCGUGUGUGAAGAAGGCUUUCGGGUUGUAAAGCACUUUCAGUGGGGAGGAAGGCCUCGUAGUUAAUAGCUGCGAGGAUUGACGUUACCCACAGAAGAAGCACCGGCUAACUCCGUG